GAUGAACGCUAGCUACAGGCUUAACACAUGCAAGUCGAGGGGCAGCACAGUGUAGCAAUACAUGGGUGGCGACCGGCGCACGGGUGCGUAACGCGUAUCCAACCUUCCCGUUACUCAGGGAUAGCCUUCCGAAAGGGAGAUUAAUACCUGAUGGUGUUGAAAUUCCGCAUGUUAUUUCAACUAAAGAUUUAUCGGUAACGGAUGGGGAUGCGUGACAUUAGAUAGUAGGCGGGGUAACGGCCCACCUAGUCUACGAUGUCUAGGGGUUCUGAGAGGAAGGUCCCCCACACUGGAACUGAGACACGGUCCAGACUCCUACGGGAGGCAGCAGUGAGGAAUAUUGGUCAAUGGUCGGAAGACUGAACCAGCCAAGUAGCGUGAAGGAUGAAGGUUCUAUGGAUUGUAAACUUCUUUUAUACGGGAAUAAAAACCUCCCACGUGUGGGAGCUUGUAUGUACCGUAUGAAUAAGCAUCGGCUAACUCCGUG
rnacentral:rRNA from 1 species